rnacentral:rRNA from 1 species
GUAGGGAAUAUUGCGCAAUGGACGAAAGUCUGACGCAGCGACGCCGCGUGAGUGAUGAAGGCCUUAGGGUCGUAAAGCUCUGUUGAAUGGGAAGAAAAAAAUGACGGUACCAUUCGAGGAAGGACCGGCUAACUUCGUGCCAGCAGCCGCGGUAAUACGAGGGGUCCUAGCGUUGUUCGGAAUCAUUGGGCGUAAAGGGUGUGUAGGUGGCCAUGUAAGUCAGGUGUGAAAGCCCCGGGCUCAGCCCGGGAAGUGCACUUGAUACUGCGUGGCUUGAGUACCGAAGAGGGUAGUGGAAUUCCAGGUGUAGUGGUGAAAUACGUAGAUAUCUGGAGGAACACCGGUGGCGAAGGCGGCUACCUGGUCGAGUACUGACACUGAGACACGAAAGCAUGGGGAUCAAACAGGAUUAGAAACCCGGGUAGUCC